rnacentral:rRNA from 1 species
UUAAGCCAUGCAAGUCGAGAGGUGUAAGACCUCGGCAUACUGCUCAGUAACACGUGGUUAACCUGCCCUAAGGUGGAGAAUACUCCCGGGAAACUGGGGCUAAUGCUCCAUAGUGGAUAUGUCCUGGAAUGGUAUAUCCUCGAAAGAUCCGCCGCCUUAGGAUGGGACUGCGUCCGAUUAGGUUGUUGGCGGGGUAACGGCCCACCAAGCCAUUGAUCGGUACGGGUUGUGGGAGCAAGAUCCCGGAGAUGGAUUCUGAGACAUGAAUCCAGGCCCUACGGGGCGCAGCAGGCGAGCAAACUUUACAAUGCGAGCAAUCGUGAUAAGGAAACCCUGAGUGCCUGUCGAUGCAGGCUGUUCAUAUAUCUAAAUCAUAUGUGAAGAAAGGGCAGGGCAAGACCGGUGCCAGCCGCCGCGGUAAUACCGGCUGCUCGAGUGAUGGCCACUAUUACUGGGUUUAAAGCGUCCGUAGCUUGACUGUUAGGUCUCUUGGGAAAUCUUCACGCUCAACGUGAAGGCGUCUAAGAGAUACCGGCAGUCUUGGAACUGGGAGAGGUAAACCGUACUUCGGGGGUAGGAGUGAAAUCUUGUAAUCCUCGAGGGACGACCUAUGGCGAAGGCAGUUUACCAGAACAGCUUCGACAGUGAGGGACGAAAGCUGGGGGAGCAAACGGGAUUAGAUACCCCGGUAGUCCCAGCC